UACAAUGGCCUGAGUGCCUCGCUGUGC
rnacentral:piRNA from 1 species